rfam:Asian citrus Psyllid, Diaphorina citri - Florida Strain, whole genome shotgun sequence.
GCCUAGUUAGCUUAGUUGGUAGUGCGUCUGCCUUGUAAGCGCUAGGCCGCGGGUUCGAUUCCCGCCCGGGCC